rnacentral:rRNA from 1 species
AUUGAACGCUGGCGGCAGGCCUAACACAUGCAAGUCGAGCGGAUGAAGGGAGCUUGCUCCUGGAUUCAGCGGCGGACGGGUGAGUAAUGCCUAGGAAUCUGCCUGGUAGUGGGGGAUAACGUCCGGAAACGGGCGCUAAUACCGCAUACGUCCUGAGGGUGAAAGUGGGGGAUCUUCGGACCUCACGCUAUCAGAUGAGCCUAGGUCGGAUUAGCUAGUUGGUGGGGUAAAGGCCUACCAAGGCGACGAUCCGUAACUGGUCUGAGAGGAUGAUCAGUCACACUGGAACUGAGACACGGUCCAGACUCCUACGGGAGGCAGCAGUGGGGAAUAUUGGACAAUGGGCGAAAGUCUGAUCCAGCCAUGCCGCGUGUGUGAAGAAGGUCUUCGGAUUGUAAAGCACUUUAAGUUGGGAGGAAGGGCAGUAAGUUAAUACCUUGCUGUUUUGACGUUACCAACAGAAUAAGCACCGGCUAACUUCGUG